GAUGAACGCUGGCUACAGGCUUAACACAUGCAAGUCGAGGGGAAACGACGGGGAAGCUUGCUUCCCCGGGCGUCGACCGGCGCACGGGUGAGUAACGCGUAUCCAACCUGCCUCUGACUGAGGGAUAACCCGUCGAAAGUCGGCCUAAUACCUCAUGGCAUCGUCUGCGGGCAUCCAACGACGAUUAAAGAUUUCAUCGGUCAGAGAUGGGGAUGCGUCUGAUUAGCUUGUUGGCGGGGUAACGGCCCACCAAGGCGACGAUCAGUAGGGGUUUGGGGAGGAGGGCCCCCAAAAUUGAAACUAGGACACGACCAAAACUCGAACGGGAGGCAGGGGGGAGGAAAAUUGGUCAUGGGCGAGAGCCUGAACCAGCCAAGUAGCGUGCAGGAUGACGGCCCUAUGGGUUGUAAACUGCUUUUAUGCGGGGAUAAAGUGAGGGACGUGUCCUUCAUUGCAGGUACCGCAUGAAUAAGGACCGGCUAAUUCCGUG
rnacentral:rRNA from 1 species